AUGAACGCUGGCGGCGUGCCUAAUCCCUGCCAGUCGAGCGAACAGACGAGUAGCUUGCUCCUCUGACGUUAUCGGCGGACGGUUUAGUAACACGUUGAUAACCUACCUAUAAUACUGGGAUAACUUCGGGAAACCUGAGCUAAUACCGGAUAAUAUAUUUAACCGCAUGGUUCAAUAGUUUAAGACGGUUUUGCUUUCACUUAUAUAUGGAUCCUCGCCGCAUUAGCUAGUUGGUAAGGUAACGGCUUACCAAGGCAACGAUGCGUAGCCGACCUGAGAGGGUGAUCGGCCACACUGGAACUGAGACACGGUACAGACUCCUACGGGAGGCAGCAGUAGGGAAUAUUACGCAAUGGGCGAAAGCUUGACGGAGCAACGCCGCGUGAGUGAUGAAGGUCUUCGGAUCGUAAAACUCUGUUAUUAGGGAAGAAAAAAUGUGUAAGUAAAUAUGCACGUCUUGACGGUACCUAAUCAGAAAGCAACGGCUAACUACGUG
rnacentral:rRNA from 1 species